GAGGCCGCGGGCCGCCCCCCAGGCAGGGUCGAGGCGGCGCUCAGCUGCUUCUCUUUCAACCAGGACUGCACGGAAGGCUGGUGCUUCCCCGGACUGGUGCGGGUCUUGGUAGCCACCCCUUCCUCUUUUCCCCUCUUCCAGCAGGGGGGCUGAGCGCCCCCAUCCCCCGCUGCAGGCGGAGAGCCAGGAGCGGCCGGCCGAGAAGGAAGGAGGGAGUUAGCCAGGGGAAUGGGGCUAAAGGAGGCUAAGGAAUGUGGGGGACGAGGGAGGAGGGUAAUGACCUAAGUGGGGGUCUGGAGAAGGAGGAGCAGUGGCCAAAACAAAGGAGAUGGGAAGGGAGCGGGGGUUGCAAAUUGACCGAAGGCGAAGUGUUGAGGCCCGGGAAGAUGGGAGCACAGGAAAAAGUUUCCCAUUUGUCCUUGAGCAUCUCAACGUGGCAUCUGGGCAGGGCCAAUGACAAAGAGGCAGCCUAUCCCUGCGGCCAGGCCAGCCCCUGCCCCAGCCCCAGCGCAGAGCACCUCGCCUGCCGGCUCUGGACGUCAGAAACUUUGCCAUUGGUCUAUACUGGGUUUUCACUUAACCCACUCAGCGAGACACAGUCUCCUUCUCCCAGUCUAGGAACCCUUUCCCGGCCCCGGGCUGGGGCUGCCUUCUCCGAGAAGCAUGAACUCCACCCUGUUGCUUUUUGAGUGGCUUUUUAAUGUUUCACCUUGAUGUUCACUUUUGGACUUUGGCCAGAGAGCCUGGAGUUGUUUCAAACAUCUGGAGGAUUCAGCCCCACCCCCACCCCCCCAGAAGCAAACGCCUUACCUCUUUUCAUGUUAGACUCCAGCUCUGUGGACCAUAUGGAAUAAUCUCUUUGGAAUGUGCACCCAGAGCAUCAGGCAGCAAUUCCCAGUUUCCCAUUUCCUGCUGUACCAGUUUCUGUUGUGUUCCUUGUUUGGAGUCAGCUUCAGGUUUGUGUGUUGGCUGCCUGUGGCCGGGCUAUGCUAAUAUUGAACAUUCGGUGGUGUAAUUAAGGCCAUCCUGUACCAUAAGCAACUCUGGCUCCCAUUGCCUUUGUGUUUCUGUUUAAAAAACACCCUAUGCUAAACAAUAUGCCUUUGUUUGGGGAAAAAAAAAACAAAACAGCAACAACUGUAUGUGCCAUCGGGUAGCUGGGCAACCUGGGUAGAUGAGUGACUUUCAAGCUUUCUUUGACCACAGCCCAUGAUACGAAAUCCAUAUUACAACAUUACCCCAUAUCCAUCUAUGUAAUAUCACUGUAAAACCAUUUGCAACAUGAUGUUUACCUUUAAAAUAUGCACUACCCUUUGGUAUUUUCUGUUUCUUUUCUUUUUUUUUUUAAGCCAUUUGUGACUCACUGAGUUGUUUUUAGCAUCUACUCACAAGUUGAGACCCAGAGUUUACAAAAAUGAUGGUCUAGAUACAAUUCUGAUGUUUUGUAAGACACAUUUUGCAAGAGAGGAUGGCUGUUGAAAUGCCUGGGUGUUUUCCUUCCCAACUGAAUGCAUGUUAAGAAGGGGCGCUUAUCAGCUUGCUUAUUAGGGGGAAAUGCUCUGAAUUCUGCUUUGUAGCGUUAUUAAUUUUUUUAAGGGAUAUUAAUUUUUCCUCUAGAUAAGUCCCAGCUUUUCUAUAGUAAUUGGAUUAGAAUGUUAUUUUCUAAACUGUAGGGUGCUUGGGAAGCUAAUUUCCUUACUCCCUACUGUCAGUUCUGUUUUCUUGGAUGAAGCCUCUGCUGGGCAGCUCUGUCUCACCUAUAAAUAAAAGUUUUUGUCACAGUCAGUUGCUUUGAGCCUCAGAGGGUAUGACAUUGGAUUUUAAAAUAAGUCAAGUCCCUUACCGAGCACGUUCUGGAGUAUCAGGCUGAAUGUGGAAUCUAGUAUUUCUGGAGAAGGUGGGUGAAGACAGCUAAAUUUUAUCAGCUUCCUUUACUCAUGCUUGGCCAGGGGCUAGACAAUUUGGGUAUUUUUUAAAAAUUGAUUUGUGGAGUUCCCGUCGUGGCGCAGUGGUUAACGAAUCUGACCGGGAACCAUGGGGUUGGGGGUUCGAUCCCUGGCCUUGCUCAGUGGGUUAAGGAUCCAGUGUUGCCGUGAGCUGUGGUGUAGGUUGCAGACGCGGCUUGGAUCCUGCAUUGCUGUGGCUCUGGCGUAGGCCAGCGGCUGCAGCUCCGAUUCGACCCCUAGCCUGGGAAUCUCCAUAUGCCGCGGGAGCGGCCCAAGAAAUGGCAAAAAAGACUAAGAAAACAAAAAAAAAUUAAUUUGUGAUAAAUAUUUGUCCAAAAUCCCAUUUUCAAGCAAGGUGAUGAAUUUUUUUUUUUUUCCUGCAGAAAAGUCUUAGGAUGAAAUAAAGUUUUAGUCUGAAUUCUUUGAUUCAGAAUUUUUUUGUGGCCAUUGAUCAACCAUUUAAAACACCAUAGUGAUCACACUACCUUUCCUCAUUUUUAAAAUUCUUCUGCUCCUGAGACGGGGCAUGUGUUUGAAAAUGUAUUUUAAAUUGCCAAAUGUUUUGGUUAAUAUUAUACUUUACACGACAUCUUUUUCUCUGGCCCUCAAGCUUUAGAAACCUCAGUUUGCAACUAAAUGCACAUAUAUUUACGCGAAAAAGUUUAUGAGAAGAAAGUUUAAACAUAGUGGUUGCUGCGGAGUGUGUACAUUUAGGGAUUUUAAGAUGCGGCUGGCUUGCCUUUCCAGUUGCUGUUGCUCAUCGUGAAUGCUGCAGUUCUGGAAGGCAAACCCCAGUUCUCUGUACCUGCUGCUCUUACCCAAAUGUCUACCAUCAGGAUAGCCACUGAGCAGAUCCGGAGGGCUAGGGAGCAGAAGCAGCCACCUUGGUGAUUAAACCAACUGUAAGAGUUCCCGUCGUGGCGCAGUGGUUAACGAAUCCGACUAGGAACCAUGAGGUUGCGGGUUUAGUCCCUGCCCUUGCUCAGUGGGUUAACGAUCCAGCGUUGCCGUGAGCUGUGGUGUAGGUUGCAGACGUGGCUCGGAUCCCACAUUGCUGUGGCUCUGGUGUAGGCCGGAGGCUACAGCUCGGAUUGGACCCAUAGCCUGGGAACCUCCAUAUGCCUCGGGAGCGGCCCUAGAAAU
rnacentral:lncRNA from 1 species